rnacentral:tRNA from 1 species
CCCUGGUUAGCUCAGUUUGUAGAGCGCUCCACUGGAAAUGGAGAGGUCCCGGCCUCAAUACCAGGACCGGGCG